GAUAUUUUGAUAAGAAUGCACAUUUCCACAGUUUUCCUUUUAAAAAAUAGCAUUGUAAACUCCAAAGGUGGAAGUGAUUUUUGAUAACAGAUGCAGUCAAAGAAAAUGAUCUAAAAUCACAUAUUAUGUCUAACUGACCAUGCAGUGACGAGCUACUUCCCCCGUGGUUUGACUCAAAUUACCAUGGGAACAGCCUGCGUCUUCGGAGAGGUGCUUCAGGAAAAAUGCAUCUGCAGCCUGUAGCUUCUGCCCAGCCCUGCCUUCUCCCCAAGGACUGAGCCCAUUUGUGUGGUGCUGAUGAGCUACUCUCGACCACAAAGAUGAGGCCAACUGGAGCAGGCACCUUAGACCAAUGUGGGGCCAGCUGGGAACCUGGGUGAUCUCAUGGAGUGGAGCCCAACUUUCUGCCCUAGACUGGUGAGGCGGUCCCUGGGUGACCAUUUCUACCCUUACACCUUCUGAUGAACACCAAUAAAAGCCUGGAGAAAAGGCAUCACUCAUUCAGUCUCAUGGGUUCUGCCCGAGAACAGCAACGUGCAAGCACGACUUCUCUAUGAUCCUUGAAAUCCUCUAUGGUACCACAGAUCGCCGACUUUGAGAUUUUAAAUCUGUGGUCUUCAAAUCUGAGUACCAACCCAUGAGUGGACAGAGUGCACCCUCACCUCUGCCCACUCUUGGCCUCCAGAGUUGCUUCACGCUCGCCUCCCAAACAGAGGAAGCUUCCAUCAAAACAAUUAGGAGACCCCAGGCAGCUGUCUUCUGGAAACCUCCGUCCAACAGCAGCAGUUCUCCACCCACCAGGCCACUCCCAGCAUCCAAAUGGUUUCCAAAGGUGCAGUCAGGUUAGUACACCUUGACUCUGCUCUUGGGUAAGGCUAGGUCCUGGCAUGACAGUGUGACCCAAGCUGAGCCCAUCAGAG
rnacentral:lncRNA from 1 species